UUCUAUCAUGCCCCAUCCCUUCUCUGGUCUUGCACCACUGCUGGGCCCCACAGCUUGUCCCCAAAAACUCUUUGCAUCCCCACAGGUUGGAAUUGGAGUGGGUUUUGUCCUGGAACUCCCAUCUCCAUGCCUGCCUCUUGCUCUUCCUCUUCCUCCACUGUCUCUUCCAGCAGAGACUUGAGAAGAUCUCCUGAAGAGCUUGGAAUAUCCUGGAGCUGCAGGAGAUCUGUGCAUUCCUGGAAGACUUUCAUCCAUCCAGCACCACCUGGAGGGUGUCCAUGCCUCACCAGUGCCAGGACACCACGGAGGUGACACAUGAGCUUGCUGCUUUUCCACGUUCCCUGCAAGCUUAAUCUUUGGAUUAAUACUUUUUAUUUUUCUUGACAUUCAACUUCUGAUCCGCGCCGAGAAAACACGAUGAGGUCACGCGAGUCCUGAAAACUGGAAAAAGUCCUUCUGGUUCAAAGCCCUCCUGGGACAAGCCUCUGACAAGGAGGAGAUCCAAAACACAACUGUUCCCGUAGAAAAUAUGACUUUGGAUCAGGCCAGGAACAAGCUCAUGACAAGGAAAACACUGGAAUGGAAUUAGAUCAGAGCUCUGUAGCCAGCCAGAACCUCCCAACCUUUAAAUGUCAGCUCAGAGACACAUGGAUAACUUGCAAGGGUCUUCUGGAGCCAAGGUAAACUUGGGAUAAUCUCCCAGCACGCCCUUGGAGCAGCCCCGGUACCACCUCCUCCUUGGCAUGGUCCUGAUGGAUGGGAUCUGUCACAUCCUAUCUCCCAGGGGCUGGGAUUUUGUUACAAAGUGAUUUUUUCUGGCAGAGAAAAUGAUUCCAUCAAAACCGAGGUGUUCUGUGGGAAUAUGGCUGACCCUCCUCACCAGGGCAUGUUUUGAUUUCUCCUUUAGGGACAAACUUCCCAUGACAAGACAGGUUAUCUUUUUUUUUAAUCAGAGCUGGAAUAAAAGGCCAGGAUUCACCCCA